AUGGCCUCUUCUUCUUCGUUGUCGUCUACGGCAAUCCAGAUACAUCCACUGACCAACGAGGACGACAAUGUGAUAACAGCUGCCCGCACAGCACCGCCAAUGACUACCAAGGAGCCUGCACCGGCCACGGUCAUGUCGAGCGUCGCGAACCUGGCACAGCUUCUGCCGACAGGCACGGUCCUGGCCUACCAGGCACUGUCCCCGUCCUUCACCAACCACGGUAAGUGCGAGACCUCCAACCAGUGGCUCACUGGGACGCUGGUCGCUGUCCUUGCCUCCGCGUGCCUCUUCUUCUCCUUCACUGAUAGCAUCGUUGGUCGCCGCGAUGGAAAGCUAUAUUACGGCUUUGCCACACUGUGUGGCUUCAACGUGUUCAACUUCUCUAGCGAGGAGGAGAGGCAGGAGUGGAACGAUCUUGAUCAGUUCCGGAGGCUCCGCCUCCGGCCGCUGGACUUCAUCCACGCCUUCUUCGCGGCUGUGGUUUUCCUCACGGUGGCGUUCAGCGACGUGGGGCUGCAGAACUGCUUCUUCCCAGAUGCCAGCAGGAACACCGAAGAGCUUCUCAAGAAUCUGCCAAUGGGCAUGGCAUUUCUGUCCAGCUUUGUGUUCAUCAUGUUCCCCACUAAGAGGAAGGGCAUUGGAUUCUCCGACAACGCUCCUCCCCAGAAGGUCGUCCAUCCCUUAAAUUGA
rnacentral:rRNA from 1 species